rnacentral:rRNA from 1 species
ACAUAACUGAUGCCUCCGCGUAUCGACUUUGUGCGCAUUUUAGCUAUUAUGUGUUCUUUUAAUUAAAAUGAUUCUUUUUAAGAUUCAUCUAUUAAAAAUUUGCUUCGGCAUAAUUUUUUUUGAUGAUCUUGUUACUUUGAGUAAAUUAGAGUGUUCAAAGCAAACAGAUAUAGCAUUUGUGCGUUUGAAUACUACAGCAUGGAAUAACAAAAUUGAACAAGUCAGAAUUUUUUUGUUCUUUUUUCUUAUUUUGGCUUAGUUACGAUUAAUAGGAGUAGCUUGGGGGCAUUUGUAUUCAGAUGUCAGAGGUGAAAUUCUUAGAUUUUCUGGAGACAAACAACUGCGAAAGCAUUUGCCUAAAAUACUUCCAUUAAUCAAGAACGAAAGUUAAGGGAGUGAAGACGAUCAGAUACCGUCGUAAUCUUAACCAUAAACUAUGCCGACUAGGCUUUGGAUGAAAGAUUUUAAAAUAAGAGUUUUUCUUUUCUCUCCGGAGAUUAGAACUCUUAGAUUGCUUCCUUCAGUGCCUUAUGAGAAAUCAAAGUCUUUGGGUUCUGGGGCGAGUAUUCGCGCAAGCGAGAAAGUUAAAAGAAUUGACGGAAGGGCACCACCAGGCGUGGAGCUUGCGGCUUAAUUUGACUCAACACGGGAAAACUCACUAGUUUAAGACAAGAGUAGGAUUGACAGAUUAAUAGCUCUUUCUUGAUUUCUUGGAUGGUGAUGCAUGGCCGUUUUUAGUUCGUGAAUAUGAUUUGUCUGGUUAAUUCCGAUAACGAACGAGAUCUUAACCUGCUAAUUAGCGGCAAAUACGAUAUAUUCUUAUGUAGAAUUGAAUAUAGUGGAUUUGUUGGAUUUUGAAGAAAAUAUUGGAAUUACGUUAAAUGUGAUUCCUUUCCCUUUUCUGCUUAAUUUACAUUUCCAUCUAUUUCUUUUUUGCGUAUGAAUGUAUUUGCUUGAUUGUAAAGCUUCUUAGAGGAACGAUGUGUG